rnacentral:tRNA from 1 species
GCCUGGUUGGCUCAAUCGGUUAAGCAUCUGACUUCAGUUUAGGUCACAAUCUCCCAGGUCAUGAGUUUGAGCCCCACAUCAGGCU